UGGGGAGUCGUCUAAUGGCAGGACAGCGGACUCUGGAUCCGUCAAUCGGGGUUCAAAUCCCUGCUCCCCAGCUA
rnacentral:tRNA from 1 species